rnacentral:rRNA from 1 species
CAGUCGCCGCGGUAACACGUAGGUGGCAAGCGUUGUCCGGAAUUAUUGGGCGUAAAGGGCUCGCAGGCGGUUUCUUAAGUCUGAUGUGAAGGCCCCCGGCUCAACCGGGGAGGGUCAUUGGAAACUGGGAAACUUGAGUGCAGAAGAGGAGAGUGGAAUUCCACGUGUAGCGGUGAAAUGCGUAGAGAUGUGGAGGAACACCAGUGGCGAAGGCGACUCUCUGGUCUGUAACUGACGCUGAGGAGCGAAAGCGUGGGGAGCGAACAGGAUUAGAUACCCGGGUAGUCCCUGUCUCUUAUAC